GAACAUUUUAUUUAAUCAAAUUUUAAAAUUGAUGUUUUAUUUUUUUAAAAAAGUCAUUUUCAAUUCAAAAAGAAAGAAAUGA
rnacentral:ribozyme from 1 species